rnacentral:rRNA from 1 species
UGCCCCAAACUCUGGGAUAAGCCUUGGAAACGAGGUCUAAUACCGGAUAAGCGGCACCACCGCAUGGUGAGUGUUGGGAAAGAUUUUUUGGUCUGGGAUGGACUCGCGGCCUAUCAGCUUGUUGGUGAGGUAAUGGCUCACCAAGGCGACGACGGGUAGCCGGCCUGAGAGGGCGACCGGCCACACUGGAACUGAGACACGGUCCAGACUCCUACGGGAGGCAGCAGUGGGGAAUAUUGCACAAUGGGCGAAAGCCUGAUGCAGCGACGCCGCGUGGGGGAUGAAGGCCUUCGGGUUGUAAACCCCUUUCAGCAGGGAAGAAGCGAAAGUGACGGUACCUGCAGAAGAAGCGCCGGCUAACUACGUGCCAGCAGCCGCGGUAAUACGUAGGGCGCAAGCGUUGUCCGGAAUUAUUGGGCGUAAAAGAGCUCGUAGGCGGCUUGUCGCGUCUGCUGUGAAAGCACGAGGCUCAACCUCGUGUCUGCAGUGGGUACGGGCAGGCUAGAGUGUGGUAGGGGAGACUGGAAUUCCUGGUGUAGCGGUGGAAUGCGCAGAUAUCAGGAGGAACACCGAUGGCGAAAGGCAGGUCUCUGGGCCACUACUGACGCUGAGGGAGCGAAAAGCGUGGGGAAGCGAAACAAGGAAUUAGAUACCCUGGUAGUCCACGCCGUAAAACGGGUGGGGCACUAGAUGUGGGGGCUUUAUUCCAUGAGUUUCCGCGUCGCAGCUAAACGCAUUAAGUGCCCCCGCCUGGGGAGUACGGCCGCCAAGGCUAAAACUCAAAGGAAUUGACGGGGGCCCGCCACAAGCGGCGGAGCAUGCGGAUUAAUUCGAAUGCAACGCGAAGAACCUUUACCCAAGGCUUGACAUAUACGGUCUAAUCCCUAAGAAGAAUAAGGGAGUGAUUUUUUUCCGCCCGUAAUACCAGGUGGUUGCAUUGAAUUGUCGUCCAGCCUCGUGUCCGAUGAAGAAUGUUUGGAGUUUAAAAGUCCCCCGCAAACGAGCGCAACCCUCUUCCUAUGUUGCCAGCACGUGAUGGUGGGGACUCAUAGGAGACUGCCGGGGUCAACUCGGAGGAAGGUGGGGAUGACGUCAAAUCAUCAUGCCCCUUAUGUCUUGGGCUUCACGCAUGCUACAAUGGCCGGUACAAAGGGCUGCGAUACCGUAAGGUGGAGCGAAUCCCAAAAAGCCGGUCUCAGUUCGGAUUGAGGUCUGCAACUCGACCUCAUGAAGUUGGAGUCGCUAGUAAUCGCAGAUCAGCAACGCUGCGGAGAAUACGUACUCUGGCCUUGUACCCCCCCCCCGUAAGGUGUAUAAAGGGUAUUGUAUAGUG